GUCUCGAUUUUCGUCACUCGGUCGCGCUUAUCGCUCUCUCUUUUUUGCUUCACCUGGCUCGAUCGUCGCUGUGUUUUCGUCUGGAUUGGGCGCAGAAAGGCUCGGGAGGGACGGUGGCGGCGGUGGGGAGAGGAGACGGGUCGUGGAGGAGGAGGGGAAGGAGAGGAGGAAGGGACGGAGGCCUAGGUCUGGUACACUGGCCUCAAGUCGCCGUCUCGGGGGUCGGGGCGCGGCCUCAAGUCCCCGUCCCGCCUCGUUUAUCGGCCCGGCUGCGGUCCCAAGCCGGGGCCGGGGUUCCCCUCAACCACUACCGCAGCACUCUCCGAUCCCGGACAUCUCGGGGGUCGGGGCGUGGCCUCAAGUCGCCGUCCCCGCCUCGCUUAUCGGCCCGGCUCGGCCCGGCUGCGGGUCCAAGCCGGGGCCGGGGGUCCCCUCAACCGCCGCCGCAGCACUCUCCGAUCCCGGAGGAGGGACACUUUCCGUUGACGCGAACAGGAGCCGUCGCCGCUAGAUCCGUGGCCAGGUCCCACUAAAUGGAGAACUUCGGAGAAAGUCUAACAAGGUUAAGUCAGGGGAGAGUCAAACACGAUUUUCUUUCAAGAAUAAUCCCUAAACUCAAAUAGGAAAAUUGCACACGAACACGAUCUCGUAGCCGCGAGAGAGCCGAUGCGGACCCACAAGCUCGACAGUCACACAUGUCCUCGUCGUCGGUGGUGGCGACGGUUCCUCGAGGUAGUUAGUGCACGAGUGAGAACGAAGUGUCUGAUACAUACCAGUCAAGUCCAU
rnacentral:rRNA from 1 species